GAUGAACGCUGACAGAAUGCUUAACACAUGCAAGUCAACUUGAAUUUGGGUUUUUACCUUAGGUUUGGGUGGCGGACGGGUGAGUAACGCGUAAAGAACUUGCCUCACAGCUAGGGACAACAUUUGGAAACGAAUGCUAAUACCUAAUAUUAUGAUAAUAGGGCAUCCUAUAAUUAUGAAAGCUAUAAGCGCUGUGAGAGAGCUUUGCGUCCCAUUAGCUAGUUGGAGAGGUAACGGCUCACCAAGGCGAUGAUGGGUAGCCGGCCUGAGAGGGUGAUCGGCCACAAGGGGACUGAGACACGGCCCUUACUCCAACGGGAGGCAGCAGUGGGGAAUAUUGGACAAUGGACCGAGAGUCUGAUCCAGCAAUUCUGUGUGCACGAUGAAGUUUUUCGGAAUGUAAAGUGCUUUCAGUUGGGAAGAAACAAAUGACGGUACCAACAGAAGAAGUGACGGCUAAAUACGUG
rnacentral:rRNA from 1 species